GAUGAACACUGGCGGCGUGCCUAAUACAUGCAAGUCGAGCGAACAGACGAGGAGCUUGCUCCUCUGACUUUAGCGGCGAACGGGUGCUUAACAUGUGGAUAACCUACCUAUAAGACUGGGAUAACUUCGGGAAACCGGAGCUAAUACCGGCUAAUAUAUUGAACCGCAUGGUUCAAUAGUGAAAGACGGUUUUACUGUCACUUAUAGAUGGAUCCGCGCCGCAUUAGCUAGUUGGUAAGGUAACGGCUUACCAAGGCAACGAUGCGUAGCCGACCUGAGAGGGUGAUCGGCCACACUGAAACUGAGACACGGUCCAGACACCUACGGGAGGCAGCAGUCGCGAAUCCUCCGCGACGCGCGACAGCCUGACGGAGUAACGCCGGGUGAGUGCGUAUCCUCUCCGGUUCCUCAAACCCUCCUACAGGUGAGAUACUAAUGCAUACGUAUCUCUGCCCUUCUUGACGAUACCUACUCAGAAAGCUACGGCCAACCAUCUG
rnacentral:rRNA from 1 species